rnacentral:lncRNA from 1 species
CCAGUAUGCAGUUUGCCUUGUGACAUUUAACCAUUUCAAGAAGCCCCUCCAGAUUGCGCUAAAGUAUGUACAGUCGUAAAAAAAGUGGGAGAAUGCCUCCUCCAAUCGAGUGUCACAUAAUACACAUUAUUUGGAUACCUGAAUCCCCCAUGGGACAAUCGAUCAACUGUGGCUAGCCGUUGUUGAAGUGCUAACCAAGUUAUGAAUUGAUGCCUUGGGAUGAUACCAACCCCUAUUGUCAUACUCUUCCAUGUAACUUUGGGGCACUGAGGGAUAAAGGACUGGUAGGCUAGUUUGAUACUGUAUUUUCCCUUCUUACAAAAACUAUUCAGUUCUGCCUGUACAUUACCAUUAGGAAACCAGUCCUUGGCACCAACAAUCUUCCUUACAAUUCAACUAGCUCUCUUGGGAGUCGAGAUAGUGUCAAUGUUGUUGUUCUUGAUGUAAUAUGCAUGUACCUACUGUAUCCAUAGUGUGUCCUUCUUCAUAGCAAUAGCCCAUAGCAACUUACAUAUCGCUGCUCUGUUUCAUCGGUAGACAUCAAUGAUAUUCAACCCUCCUGCUGACCAAGGUAAGCAUAACUUUUCCCAAGCU